CUACAAUUGUGUCUAGCACAGGAAACAAAACUUUAAGUGGAAAGCAGAGGGUGAACACAGGUUUGACACAGUAUGGAUAACUUGGAAGAUGAACUUUUUACACUAUCAAUUUCUUCUCCUAAAGAUGCUGAAUUUGACUGUAUAGUUGGACAUCUGGAGGAUAUCAUAAUGG